rnacentral:rRNA from 1 species
UACGGGGGGGGCAAGCGUUGUUCGGAAUUACUGGGCGUAAGGGGCUCGUAGGCGGCCAACUAAGUCAGACGUGAAAUCCCUCGGCUUAACCGGGGAACUGCGUCUGAUACUGGAUGGCUUGAGUUUGGGAGAGGGAUGCGGAAUUCCAGGUGUAGCGGUGAAAUGCGUAGAUAUCUGGAGGAACACCGGUGGCGAAGGCGGCAUCCUGGACCAACACUGACGCUGAGUGAGCGAAAGCCAGGGGAGCAAACGGG